UAAGAUGGACCUCUCUUUGUAGUCCCCAGCAGAGUCGCCAGUUCUGUCAUACGGUGAACUGGACUUUAUUGGAUUUGUAAUCGCAAUGUCGCGGUUAGCAAGAGUCGCCACCGACUUUUCUUUUAUCCCAUAAGGAAAGGUGGAAAAGAACAGGAAAGACCUUAAUUUUAAAUUCUUAGGUUCGGGAGGUACUUUAUACAAAGGGAAGG
rnacentral:lncRNA from 1 species